rnacentral:misc_RNA from 1 species
AACGCACCUUGCACUCUUUGGUAUUCCGAAGAGUAUGUCUGUUUGAGUGUCAUGAAACUCUCAACCCCCCUAUUUUGUAAUGAGAUGGGAGUUAGGGCUUGGAUUAUGGCUGCUUGCCGGCUCUUUAAGUAGAGUCAGCUCGGCUGAAAUACAUGAGCAGCGCUUCUUUAAACUAAGGCGGCUUGACUCGGCGUAAUAGCUUAUUCGCUGAGGACGCUUGUUUAAUAACCAGUUGCUUCUAAAUCAAUUACUUUAAGCUUUAGACCUCAAAUCAGUCAGGAUUACCCGCUGAACUUAA